rnacentral:rRNA from 1 species
ACAUCCAGAGAACUUGGCAGAGAUGCCUUGGUGCCUUCGGGACCUCUGAGACAGGUGCUGCAUGGCUGUCGUCAGCUCGUGUUGUGAAAUGUUGGGUUAAGUCCCCGNAACGAGCGCAACCCCUAUCCUUUGUUGCCAGCGAUUCGGUCGGGAACUCAAAGGAGACUGCCGGUGAUAAACCGGAGGAAGGUGGGGAUGACGUCAAGUCAUCAUGGCCCUUACGAGUAGGGCUACACACGUGCUACAAUGGCGCAUACAAAGAGAAGCGACCUCGCGAGAGCAAGCGGACCUCAUAAAGUGCGUCGUAGUCCGGAUCGGAGUCUGCAACUCGACUCCGUGAAGUCGGAAUCGCUAGUAAUCGUAGAUCAGAAUGCUACGGUGAAUACGUUCCCGGGCCUUGUACACACCGCCCGUCACACCAUGGGAGUGGGUUGCAAAAGAAGUAGAUAGCUUAACCUUCGGGAGGGCGUUUACCACUUUGUGAUUCAUGACUGGGGUGAAGUCGUAACAAGGUAGGCGUAGCGAG